rnacentral:rRNA from 1 species
UGAGUACGAGAUGCUACGGCAUUGAAGCAGUCUAUGUCAUACUUCCAAGAAAAGCUUGCAAUGUCAUAAACAAAUAAUGCCUGUACCAUAACCGACACAGGUGGGUAGGUAGAGUAUACUAAGGGGCGCGAGAUAACUCUCUCUAAGGAACUCGGCAAAAUGACUCCGUAACUUCGGGAGAAGGAGUGCCUUAUUUUAUAAGGUUGCAAUAACAAGAUCCAAGCAACUGUUUACCAAAAACACAGGUCUCCGCUAAGUCGUAAGACGAUGUAUGGGGGCUGACGCCUGCCCAGUGCCAGAAGGUUAAAGAAGUUGGUUAGCAUUAGCGAAGCUGAUAACUGAAGCCCUGGUGAACGGCGGCCGUAACUAUAACGGUCCUAAGGUAGCGAAAUUCCUUGUCGGGUAAGUUCCGACCCGCACGAAAGGCGUAAUGAUUUGGAUACUGUCUCGGAGAGGGGCUCGGUGAAAUAGACUUGUCUGUGAAGAUGCGGACUACCUGCACCUGGACAGAAAGACCCUAUGAAGCUUUACUGUAACUUGAGAUUGAAAUUGGACUUUAUUUGCGCAGUAUAGGUGGGAGACAUUGAAAGUAUUCUUGCGGGAAUAUUGGAGUCAUCAGUGAGAUACCACUCUUAUAAUGUUAGAUUUCUAACUUUGUAUCAUUAUCUGGUCAAAGAACAGUUUCAGGCGGGCAGUUUGACUGGGGCGGUCGCCUCCCAAACGGUAACGGAGGCGCACAAAGGUUUCCUCUGAACGUGUAGAAAUCGUAUCUAGAGUGUAAAGGCAUAAGGAAGCUUGACUGUGAGACCUACAAGUCGAGCAGGGACGAAAGUCGGUCUUAGUGAUCUGACGGUGCUGAGUGGAAAGGCCGUCACUCAACGGAUAAAAGUUACUCUAAGGAUAACAGGCUGAUCUCCCCCAAGAGUUCACAUCGACGGGGAGGUUUGGCACCUCGAUGUCGGCUCAUCGCAUCCUGGGGCGGUAGUACGUCCCAAGGGUUGGGCUGUUCGCCCAUGAAAGCGGUACGCGAGCUGGGUUCAGAACGUCGUGAGACAGUUCGGUCCAUAUCCGGUGUAGGCGUUAGAAUAUUGAGAGGAGCCUUCUUUAGUACGAGAGGACCGAGAAGGACAUACCUCUGGUGUACCAGUUAUCGUGCCAACGGUAAACGCUGGGUAGCUAUGUAUGGAGAGGAUAACCGCUGAAAGCAUCUAAGUGGGAAGCCCACCUCAAGAUAAG